AGAUAUUCAUCUCUAUGAUCAUAUUGUAGACAUUUUAUCCUCUUGUCACGAGGAUCUUCAACUUCACUCUGAAAUUACUUGAACCUUUCAAUAAUUCAGACUUGUGUUUCAUCAUGUAAUUGUACUACUAUCUACUCAAAUUAUUUGUGAAGUAAGAACAUAACAAUAUCCACUGCGUGCCUCAGCACUCAUUGCACUCCACACAUCAAACUGUAUUACUUCCAACAAGUUACUUUUUGUUCCAUCUCACUGGAAAACGAUGCCUUCAGUCAUCUUGCCCAUGUGGUAUGAUUUGCAUGUCUCAAGUGAUUCAGAAUCAAGUGAGUCCAAACGAUCCAUCUGCAUGGAGUUUCUUCAUGCGUUUAUAAUAAUAGACAUGGUUCGCAUGUCUCAAACUUUUCAAAAAAAAGCGAGUCCAAAGAUCCAUCAACAUGGAGCUUCUUCAUGCUUUUGAUACCAAUAUGACUCAAAUGGCAGUGCCACAAGUAGGUGGUACUAUCAUUAGUACUUUAUAUCUUUUGGCAUCAAUAUUACGAACAUGUGUAUCACUAUGAUCGAGAUUCAAUAAACCAUUCAUUUUAGGUUCAAGACCAUUGAAGGUAUUAUUCAAAUAAACAGAGCAACCAUUAUUCUUUUUAAAUGAAUAACCAUAUGGCGAUAAACACAAUCCAAUCAUGUGUAUGCUCAACGC
rnacentral:lncRNA from 1 species